GGAUUAGAUACCCUGGUAGUCCACACUGUAAACGAUGAUCACUCGUUGUUUGCGAUAUACCGCAAGUGACCAAGAGAAAUCGAUAAGUGAUCCACCUGGGGAGUACGUUCGCAAGAAUGAAACUCAAAGGAAUUGACGGGGGCCCGCACAAGCGGAGGAACAUGUGGUUUAAUUCGAUGAUACGCGAGGAACCUUACCUGGGUUUAAAUGGGGAGUGACAGGCUUGGAAACAGGCCCUUCUUCGGACACUCUUCAAGGUGCUGCAUGGUUGUCGUCAGCUCGUGCCGUGAGGUGUCGGGUUAAGUCCCAUAACGAGCGCAACCCACGUCGUUAGUUACCAUCAGGUCAUGCUGGGCACUCUAACGAGACUGCCGGUGUAAACCGCGAGGAAGGUGUGGAUGACGUCAAAUCAGCACGGCCCUUACAUCCAGGGCUACACACGUGUUACAAUGGACGG
rnacentral:rRNA from 1 species